AUACAUAUAUAUUCAUUCCAUCGUUAACUGUUCAUAAUGUAACCAUUAAUUGCAGUUAAUUCUUCAUUCAGGCUUAUAGGUGGGAAGUGGUUUAAGAAGUUAAUAUUGACAGUCCAAAUAAACAGACAUAGUUUCAUAGUUUUAUUAUUUUUUUUGAAACAGCAAAGGAAAAGAAAACAAAAGAUGCCACUACCAGUCCUAGAUGACAGAAGUUAUGGCCCUGCAAUUCAGCAACACAACCAAAUUUCAGAGACAUAGCUAACCCACCCCACUAAAUCAACCAACAGAUAGAACAGCCUAGAUGAGGCGCUGCUAACAGCAGCUAAAACAGCCCCACAACAGCAAAAAUCCUUCUAGCAGCGCAGAACCAAAACAUGUAUCCUCCAACUUCUGAAGUGCCUUCCAGGUAUGAAUUGCAAAGUAACCAUGGUUAAUAUUAUAGUUAGAUUGAUUCCUGGUGUAGAUCUUGUUCUUAGAUUUGAAUUACUCCUUGUAGUUUACAAAAAUUACUAAAAUAUGAGUUCAAUUAUUUUUAGAAAUGUCCAUGAAAACUUUUAGAUCUACAUGAUUUUUUUUUUAGAGAAGAUCUACAUGAUUAUUGUCAGCUAUUGAACGUAGAAAAAAAUGAAUAUAUUAGAAAUCUGGUAAAACUGCAUUAUGAGCACAAUUUCAGAUGAUUCAUUUCAUAAUUAUUGUAAUUUUAAAAAGCUGGUAAAAUCACUGAAGCAAGUGAUAUAAACUGUGAUAAUUAUAUAAAUAAAAUAAAUGAUAUUAACAGGUUAUACUAAAAUAAAUUAAGUAAAAUAUUAGAUUUAGAAAUAAGCAGGUUGUUGCAGCUUAAAUUUUGAUAUACUGAACAUUACUAUAGAUGAGAUAUGAGCAAAAAAGACAGUUGAAAUAAGCAAAAUCUAUAAAUUAAAAAGACAGUUGAGCAUGCCUUUUAUAUCUGAACAUUACUACAUAUUACAUUCAGAAAUAGAUUAAAAGAUCAGUAACAGAUGGUGUUUAUGGAACAUGUAGACCUGAACAUUUGGCAACUGCUAUAUAUAAAUCUUUCAGGUAGAACCUUGAAUAUGGAAGAGUUAGCACCACAUUUUCACAUAACAUCAAAAGGAUGAUAUUUUAGCAGAUUUAGAACCUGUAUGGUAAGUAUAUUGAAUUAGUAUACAAAUAAUUUUAUUAACAAAUUUGUUGAAAAUGGAUUUAAGUAUUGAAAAUAUAACUAUAGACAACAUUUGUUAUGAUAAUACUUACUUGUCAAACAUUUUGAAAGACUUCUUUAUAGACUACAUUUGUUGUGAAGUCUUUGGGUUGGAGAUGUUCAUCAUGUAUGAGUAUCUUGAUUCCCUUUUUGCUUGUGACUCUUGAGAUUGCAACAUAUAUUUGCCCAUGACUAAAUACAUCUUUAGGUAAAUAAAGUCCAACCCAAUCAAGAGAUUGACCUUGUGAUUUAUUGAUAGUCAUUUAAUAAGAACAAACAAUAGGAAAUUGUCUCCUAGAUAAUUUGAAUGGCCAUGGAGAUUGAGAUGGUGACAUAUCCAUACGUGGAAUAUAGAUAAUAUUACCAUGAUGCUUCCCACCCAUAAUCUUAGCUUCCAAUACAUGAUUUGCUAGCUUUGUAACUAUCAAUCUUGUUCCGUUACACAAACCUUCAGACUGAUCAAUAUUUCUCAAAAGCAUAAUAGGACACCCAACCUUUAAUUUGAUCUUAUGGUUUGGAAGUCCAGAAGUGCGUAGUGUACUGAGGAAUUCAGGUGUCAACACAUCAGUAAUGGUGUUAUCAUGAAAUUCAGAUCGAUCAAUUGAGUUGGCACUUAAAUAUACUCUCUCUUCACCUGCAUAAUAGGGUAUUAGUUUUAAAAUAUAAUAUACCCUAUUUAAUGAUAUACAGUUUUCAUAUAUAUUGAGUAAACUAUUAAUACCUGGCAUUAGGCCUAACACAUAAUCAUUGAUUUGAUCAACAACUUCAAUUGUUGACGCCAAGAUUGCUCUGCUCUUCAAGUAGUCGUACGAAGUGUAAUUAUCCAGGAAAUUAGGAUAAGUACUUUGUACAAUUGCUGCAAUUGGCUCUUCAUAAUCGGUUAUCAGCAUAUCUUUAGGAAUAGGUAUAUCAACAAUACCGUCGUUAGGCUCACUGAUUUUCCCCUCUCCAACGCUUAAAAGCCAAUUUGAAAACAGAGAAAUCUCUUCGUUUUCUUUAGGAUCAGACCCAUGCUUCAAUCUCAUAUUAUUUGUCAAUUCAAGAACUUGACAGUAAUCCCAAAUGUAUGAAGCAUUGAUUGAGGCAUGUACAAUAUCAGACCGAUCACCUCUAGGUAUAACUGGUAAAAUUUGUCGAAAAUCCCCACCAAAAACUACAACCUUCCCCCCAAAAAUGGUUUCACACUUGUUGUCAGCAUCACCCAUUAUAUCCUUAAGUGUUCUGUCCAAACACUCGAAAGUAUAUCUAUGGGACAUUGGUGCUUCGUCCCAUAUGAUCAGUUUUGUUUGUCGAAUAAGGUCUGCCAUAUCACUAUCAUGUUCUAUGUUGCAAGAAGAGUUAUCCAAUGUAGGAACAGGAAUCUUAAAUUUAGAAUGGGCAGUCCGUCCUCCUGGUAGAAGUAGAGAUGCAAUACUGCUUGAAGCGACGGUCAAAACAAUUUCAUGUUUUGACCUUAAGGCACUUGCAAGAGUACGCCACAUAAAGGUUUUCCCUGUUCCACCAUAACCAUGCAAGAAGAAAACACCUCCUUCCUGGUCAUUAACUGCGACCAUGAUUUUGUCAUAUAUAAUUCUCUGCUCAUCUGUGAAUGAAACGUGGAUACCUUGUAGUUAUAAUCAUGAGAAUAACAUAAUAUUAACUUUAUAUUAUUUUCAUUGCUAAAUAUGGCAGUAUAAUACCUGUAAGGGAUGAAAACAACUCUUGAAAUUCAAUCUGUAGGGAUGCUGUAUCAUAAUUACGCUCAUCGUAAAUUAAUCUAUUCCCUAAUUGCUCAAGUACAUAUCCGUCCGGAUAAGGUAAUGAUUUAAAUUCUUUCAAACUCCUUCUACUUGAUUGUAAUAAUUUUUCAAUUUCAAUCAAGGUCAAAUUGUGGAGUUGUUCGUCACUGAGCAGCAAAUCUGUGGAAGAUUUGAUUGAAAUACAUAUUAAAAUGAUAUAAGAUAAUAAUCAUAAUAAGCAAAUUUACAUUUAUGAAUGAAACUCUUUAAAUAGUUAUAUAACAUACCUUGAUUGUGUGCCAAUAUACGCUGUUCUCGUAAUAUCCCAUCGGACAACCACUGAAUUGUUUUAUGCCAUACAUGAAGUGGUCUAUCCAUUGCUCCAGACAACAACAUAAUGACAAACAACCUUCUUAAAAAAUAACCUGACCCCCAUUGAAAAGCUUCUCUAAUAGCACCGAUGAAUUCCAUAUCAUCGUUGAGGAACCCCAUUGCAAAGCAUGCCUCUCUAAAUGAUAAAAAUUGUAUAUCCCCAACUUUGCGAAUCUCUUCAGAUGUUCUUGGUCCUUUUGCAACAGUUAGCAUCAACCUCAAAUAGAACAAUUCUCCGGUGGUAGGUGGAACUCAAAUUAAUCUACCAAUUGUAAAACCCUUCUUCCUAGGUGUCCAGACCCUAUUUUUUUUGUUAUACACGAACUUGGAAACAAACUGCCCAUAAGUCAACUCUCUAGCAGCUUCGUAAUCUUGAUUAGCUUGGAGCCAAGCUGUGAACAUAGAUUCAGUGACACUCGCCUUUUCAAGCACAUUUUCUAUAUUUGAGUGAUCAGUGAAAUAAAUGCAUUUUUCCCCAACCAAAUGGAAAAACAUACGUUCAACUGCAGGUUUUCGCCCAUGAAUUGAGAAAGAUAGAAUUCUCCAACAUGCCUCACUUGGUGAUAUAUACCUACAAUCCAAGUAUUGUUUUAUUUCAUCAACGGGUUGUUGAAUAGUUCUUGCAUUUUGUUCAGCUGGCACAACCCUUGCUGCAAUGCGAUCAUACCCCUUAUGUAUAUAUUUGAAAAGAUACUUAAUUGAUGAACUUUGAUUACACCAUUCCAUGUUGAUAUGCGCUUGAUAUUUCAACAACAAAGUUGUGUUAUAUGGAACCACAUGUCUGUUAUCUAAAGUAAUGCCAUUUUUUACUAUGGUAUGAGUUUUAGAGCUUCUUCUGUAUACUGGAUAUCCAUCUUUAUCAACAAUAGUACGUUCAAUAAACUUCUUGGGAAAGAAUUUUGAACAUUUAUCCUUUUUCAUGCAUGGUGAUGACAAUCUAGCAAGUCCACAUGGACCAUGCAUCAUGUGACUUUUAACCAAGUUGUACAACUCAUUAUGCUUGUUUGGAUCAGGUAUUUCCGCUGAAAUGAUUUUGUCAAUAUCUGCAGGUGUUGGAUACUUGCUGGAUGGAUGCAAAAAAAUCAGAAUGUGAGCAUGUGGUAAACCUCUCUUCUGGAACUCGAUGGUGUACAUAUCUGUUAAAAAGUAUUGUUAUGAUUAGUACACAUAUAAGUGUUAAAAUUAGUAGCAAAGUAAAAGAAUAAUGUGAAUUAUCAGCUUACAUGCUAGAACUUUCCCCAGUGUAUGUUUCUUUGUUAGGUCCUUCAUAAGUUCAUCAAACUUUAUCUUAAAUACCCUUGAUAUGAUAUCUGGGCGAUCUUGAGGCUUUAAAUUGUGCUUCGCAAGUUCUCUUGUGAUUUCUGGCCAGUUUGGGUUGCAUGUGAAUGUAAUAAAAAUAUCUGGAAAACCAACCACACUUGAUAUAGCCAUUCCAUCAAAGUAAAGCUGAUCCAUGUACCUUUUGCUUCCAACAAAAGUUGAUGGGAGUAUCACUCUCUUGCCUUGCAUCCUUUGCUGACCUUGGUCAUUACCAUCAUUGAGUUGUCUGUAUUUCCCAACUCUAAGCUUUGACUGAUUUCUCCUUAGCCAAUUAAGCCUCUCUGCUUCCAUCAUGGCAUAUCCAUCUACAAAAUUGUUUCAAAAGUUUCCUGGAGCAUAGUAAAGUGAUUGCCUCAUUUUUUUCUUGAUUGUAUUCUAAAUGAGAGCCACCAUUUGAUAGUUAACCGGUUUUUGCUAUUAACAACGGUAUCAUCUUUAAACCGGAGUAAAAUACCAGGACGGUAACCGUCUUCUCCAUAUGGAAAUAUAAGUGGAUAUUGAUAGCCAAGAUAACUUGCAUGAAACUCAUCUAUUCGUUGAAGAUUUCCAGUUUGUCCUUGGAGGAUAAUAUCUCGAUAUGACGCUGAAUCAAUAUCACCUACAAUCAGUGCGGCAACUUCUGAAAUGGUUGGCUUGUUAUAGAUUCUGCCAUCAGUUUUCCGGUCUGAGAUAAGUUUCAAUUUAACAUCUUGUACUGGACCGUCGACAAACAUAUCUCUGGCCAUUCGGAAGGCUUUAGCAUGAACAUUAUUCUGAUCCAACAUUGUCUUUAAGUCUCUCACUAUUCGUUGAUCAAUGUCCUUAUUGUCCCUAAUUCCAUAAAAUCAAUAGUUGAUUAUCAAAAUGAAUGCUAAGUUUGUAAAGAAUGAUAAAAAGUGAAGUAAAUAUAGUGAUAAGUGAGAAUUUACCUGAAACAACCAAUCCUGUUUGAUAUCUCAUUUUCUGUAUCAUAGAUGUAUAACUGAGCAAAUUUUGGGCGUUGUCCGGCUAAUGGUAACAUGCUUCCGAUUCGGUGACAAGUUUGGCCUUGCAUUCGCAGAGUUGGUGGACCCCUACCUUUGUUUGUGGUAGUAUCCAUGUUCAUACCAGGUGAAGUGAAUGAGAACAUGGCAUUGUAUGUUCUGGCAUUGCUCUGAUAAUUUUUGCUAGCCUUGGUUUGAUCAAGUAAAAGGCGUUGAAGUAGUUCAGGAGACUGUUCUAAUAAAGGCAGUUGCACCUUUCCAGAACCACGACAUAAAUGGAAUUUGGGAUUCUGUGUAUGUUUGUUCUUCUGCUUCCUUUCCUGAUACCACAUCAUAGCAGAACAAUCAGGACACUCCCAAACCGGAUCUCCUAUAUCACCAUACACUGUUUCCGUUUUUCAUACAAUUAAAAUGAGUCAGAUUGUGCAAAAUUAUAUGACAACAGACUUAAUAAAUCUGUAGAUAGUAAAUAUGAAUCUACCUUGGCCAUAUAUCUCAUCAGUGAUAUCAAUAUCAUCAUCACUGCUACUAUCUGACAUAGUUUGAUCACUGUUUUCAGUGUCUGAAUCAGAUCCAUAAUUAGCAUUAACCUCAUCAUGAUCUGUGUUUCCAGGUGGUACUCUAUCCGACAUUGUGUGAAAAUAUUCAGCAUCAGUUUGAAUUGACUUUCUUGUGUUUGAACUUCGAUGUGCUGAAUUGGAAGAUGUUGGAGUUUGAGCAGAAACUUGGGGGUUACCAUUUAUUUGAGAUGGUUGAGGGUCAUUUAAAUGAGCAGGAAGAGGUACUCUAACUGACUUCUGCUGCAAUGAUGGACUAUUUAUAGUUGGUGAAUGAUGACUACUAUUCAUAUUGACACUUAUAUUUGCUGCAUCUUCAUAUUGUACAGUAGUAUUAAUUGUUCCAAAUUUCUGAGAGAAAGCAGAAUGUGUAAGAGUUGGAAGUGUUGAUUUAAACUUGUUCAGAAGUGUUUGGGCAGGUGCAGGUUUUCUAACAUCAGAAUUGAAGUGAUGUAAAUGAGAAUGCUCAUUCUGAAAGUGGCUUUGAUUUGAAUUUGUGGAAGAACUUUUAGACCUCAAAAGCUCAUUUGGACUAAAGUAGAAUUGAUUCUUAAGUGUGGGUGGGGUAAUAUCAAAAAGACUUGUUUCAAGUGGAUCUGUUAUGGUUCUUCUAUGAAAAGCAUUAGUAGUUGGUUGUUGUUUACCAGAUUGUGGAACCUUUGGAUGAAUCAAAGAGGUUUGUGGUUGACUUGUAGGACUUGGCUUACCAGCAAUGAUGUUUGCAGCAUUUCUUUUAUUGGGAUUGAUAUUGCCUGCAAAGUGAGAUGCUUCAUUCUUACGUUUUGCACCAACU
rnacentral:lncRNA from 1 species